UCCACGGAUCCCUCCACGUCUACGAACAAAACCCAUCCCAAGCUCAUCUCCUUCCAGCCGAAUCCCUUGCAUCCCAGCUCGCGAUUCAUUUUCAUCUCCCCUGCUUCAGCGGAACAGAGUCAUGAAUAAAUUCAAAGCUUUCACCCGGAUUCGUUCCAGAUUUCUCCCAGCUCAUGAAUCCGUUUCUUCCUCCCGUUCGGAAUUGACUCCAUCUUCCACGGAUAAGAUCCAGAUCCUCCCAGCAUUUCGCACAUCCCACAUGGCCGUCCGUUUCUCCCGUGCAUCUCCGCGUUUGCUCUUCAUCCUUAUCCCACGGCUAGCCAGGAUUCAACGUCAUCACUGAUCAGAGCCAUAACCCCUUUGAGAUCACUUCACAUCCAUAGAUCUAGCAAAUCCAGCAACGUCCUACAGCCAUCCGAGAUUUUCUUCACACCUCAACCACAUCCGCGUAUCCCAAAAUCUUCCCAGAUUUUCUCCUGUUCGCGUUCGGAUAUGCCAUCCACGCCAUCACCUGUUCAAUCUCUACAUCCUGAUCCAAGACGUGAAGGAGAGAGGGAGGGGAGCAGUCUAUAUAAAGGAGUUAGGAGGUGAAGACGAAGGCAUUCGGAGGGAGUGAGCCGGCUGAUCCCAAUCGCUCUUCUCAG
rnacentral:lncRNA from 1 species